rnacentral:lncRNA from 1 species
AAAUCUUAAAUGAUUGAUUUAAGGUCAAAUAAUAGACCUAGACAGAAAAUAAGUGUAUGCAUUUGAUGUUAUUAGGAUGGAAUUUUGAGGAUUUCAAAAUUUCGUGAAGGCUUAUAGGUGAAUUAUUCAGGAUUAAGUGUUUUUGUGAUUAAGUUCUGUGAAUAUGGUUAUGUUCUGUGUACAAAAUGUGGUUAAGGGUCAAGGGUUGACCAGAUAAAUUAUAUCUGUAACAAACCCUAAGAAUAUAUUAAGAACAA